GAUGAACGCUAGCGAUAGGCUUAACACAUGCAAGUCGAGGGGCAGCACAAGGUAGCUUGCUAUCUGGGUGGCGACCGGCGCACGGGUGCGUAACGCGUAUGCAACUUGCCCUAUACAGGAGGAUAACCCGUCGAAAGACGGACUAAUACUGCGUAUGCUCACAACUUGGCAUCAAGUGGUGAGGAAAGAAAUUCGGUAUAGGAUAGGCAUGCGUCCCAUUAGCUUGUUGGUGAGGUAACGGCUCACCAAGGCAACGAUGGGUAGGGGAACUGAGAGGUUUAUCCCCCACACUGGUACUGAGACACGGACCAGACUCCUACGGGAGGCAGCAGUGAGGAAUAUUGGUCAAUGGGCGCGAGCCUGAACCAGCCAAGUCGCGUGAAGGAUGACUGUCUUAUGGAUUGUAAACUUCUUUUAUACGGGAAUAACAAGAGUCACGUGUGACUCCCUGCAUGUACCGUAUGAAUAAGCAUCGGCUAACUCCGUGC
rnacentral:rRNA from 1 species